UACGUAGGGGGCUAGCGUUGUCCGGAAUCAUUGGGCGUAAAGAGCGUGUAGGCGGCUCGGUAAGUCCGCUGUGAAAGUCCAGGGCUCAACCCUGGAAUGCCAGUGGAAACUGUCGAGCUAGAGUCCGGAAGAGGCGAGCGGAAUUCCUGGUGUAGCGGUGAAAUGCGCAGAUAUCAGGAGGAACACCAAUGGCGAAGGCAGCUCGCUGGGACGGUACUGACGCUGAGACGCGAAAGCGUGGGGAGCAAACAGG
rnacentral:rRNA from 1 species